rnacentral:rRNA from 1 species
UACGUAGGGUGCAAGCGUUGUCCGGAAUUAUUGGGCGUAAAGAGCUCGUAGGCGGUUUGUCGCGUCUGCUGUGAAAACUCGGGGCUCAACCCCGAGCUUGCAGUGGGUACGGGCAGACUAGAGUGCGGUAGGGGAGACUGGAAUUCCUGGUGUAGCGGUGGAAUGCGCAGAUAUCAGGAGGAACACCGGUGGCGAAGGCGGCUCUCUGGGCCUUACCUGACGCUGAGGAGCGAAAGCGUGGGGAGCAAACAGG